GAGUUUGAUCCUGGCUCAGAAUGAACGCUGGCGGAUGCCUAACACAUGCAAGUCGAACGAAGGCUUCGGCCUUAGUGGCGCACGGGUGCGUAACGCGUGGGAAUCUGCCCUCAGGUUCGGAAUAACAGGAGAAAUUGCUGUAAUACCGGAUGAUAUCGCGAGAUCAAAGAUUUAUCGCCUGAGGAUGAGCCCGCGUAGGAUUAGCUAGUUGGUGUGGUAAAGGCGCACCAAGGCGACGAUCCUUAGCUGGUCUGAGAAGGAUG
rnacentral:rRNA from 1 species